AAAAAUGCUAAUUUCAUCGGCUCUAGCAUCAAAUUAACGCAACAUCUGCGAGGAGAACGGAUAUUAGCAUCCCAUUUUCUAGAUU